GCCCGUGUAGUCCAAUGGCAGGAGACGUUGGUUUUAAAAAUCAAACAGUGUCGGUUCGAGUCCGACCUCGGGCACCA
rnacentral:tRNA from 1 species